rnacentral:rRNA from 1 species
AGUGAACGUUGGCGGCGUGGAUUAGGCAUGCAAGUCGAGCGAGAACCGUAGCAAUACGGGGACAGCGGCGAAAGGGACAGUAAUGUGUAGGUACCUACCCCCGGGUUCGGGAUAGCUGCGGGAAACUGCAGGUAAUACCGAAUAAUGUCUUCGGACCAAAGGUGUGAUUCCACCUGGGGAGGGGCCUGCAUCCUAUUAGCUUGUUGGUGGGGUAACGGCCUACCAAGGCGACGAUGGGUAGCGGGUGUGAGAGCAUGACCCGCGUCAUUGGGACUGAGACCCUGCCCAGACACCUACGGGUGGCUGCAGUCGAGAAUCUUCGGCAAUGGGCGAAAGCCUGACCGAGCGACGCCGCGUGCGGGAUGAAGGCCUUCGGGUUGUAAACCGCUGUCGUAGAGGAGGAAAUGCAAGGGGGUUCUCCCCUUUGCUUGACCUAUUCUAGGAGGAAGUACGGGCUAAGUCCGUGCCAGCAGCCGCCGUAACAC